UCCCUGGUGGUCUAGUGGCUAGGAUUUGGCACUUUCACUGCCAAGACCUGGGUUCAAUUCCCGAUCAGGGAC